UAGAAGUCAGGUCGGAUUAAGCCAUAGUACGGGAAAAACUAUGCUACCUGUGAGCCCCGUCCAAGGACGUUAAAAGAAGUCAGGCCACUACAAGUGCCAUAACUUGAGCAAAUUGUGCAGCCUGUAGCUCCACCUGGGAAGGUGUAAAAAAUCUGGGAGGCCACAAACCAUGGAAGCUGUACGCAUGGCGUAGUGGACUAGCGGUUAGAGGAGACCCCUCCCUUGCAAAUCGCAGCAACAAUGGGGGCCCAAGGUGAGAUGAAGCUGUAGUCUCACUGGAAGGACUAGAG
rnacentral:lncRNA from 1 species